rnacentral:rRNA from 1 species
UACAGAGGGUGCUAGCGUUGUUCGGAAUCAUUGGGCGUAAAGCGCACGUAGGCGGGUCGUUAAGUCAGGGGUGAAAUCCCGGAGCUCAACUCCGGAACUGCCUUUGAUACUGGCGACCUUGAGGCUGGAAGAGGUUAGUGGAAUUCCCAGUGUAGAGGUGAAAUUCGUAGAUAUUGGGAAGAACACCAGUGGCGAAGGCGGCUAACUGGUCCAGAUCUGACGCUGAGGUGCGAAAGCGUGGGGAGCAAACAGG